rnacentral:rRNA from 1 species
CUGUGGAUUGUAAACCCCUUUUGACUGGGAAGAACACAAUGACGGUACCAGUCGAAUCAGCCUCGGCUAACUCCGUGCCAGCAGCCGCGGUAAUACGGAGGAGGCAAGCGUUAUCCGGAUUUAUUGGGCGUAAAGCGUCCGCAGGUGGUUCGUCAAGUCUGCUGUCAAAGCGCGAAGCUCAACUUCGUAUAGGCAGUGGAAACUGACAAACUUGAGGGUGAUAGGGGCAGAGGGAAUUCCCAGUGUAGCGGUGAAAUGCGUAGAGAUUGGGAAGAACACCGGUGGCGAAAGCGCUCUGCUGGGUCACACCUGACACUGAGGGACGAAAGCUAGGGGAGCG